rnacentral:rRNA from 1 species
GACGAACGCUGGCGGCGUGCCUAAUACAUGCAAGUAGAACGCUGAAGCGAGGAGCUUGCUCUUCUUGGAUGAGUUGCGAACGGGUGAGUAACGCGUAGGUAACCUGCCUUGUAGCGGGGGAUAACUAUUGGAAACGAUAGCUAAUACCGCAUAACAAUGGAUGACACAUGUCAUUUAUUUGAAAGGGGCAAUUGCUCCACUACAAGAUGGACCUGCGUUGUAUUAGCUAGUAGGUGAGGUAACGGCUCACCUAGGCGACGAUACAUAGCCGACCUGAGAGGGUGAUCGGCCACACUGGGACUGAGACACGGCCCAGACUCCUACGGGAGGCAGCAGUAGGGAAUCUUCGGCAAUGGGGGCAACCCUGACCGAGCAACGCCGCGUGAGUGAAGAAGGUUUUCGGAUCGUAAAGCUCGGUUGUAAGUCAAGAACGAGUGUGAGAGUGGAAAGUUCACACUGUGACGGUAGCUUACCAGAAAGGGACGGCUAACUACGUG